AGUAGUUAAGCAUUCGGCUGCAAACUGAGAGGUCGGUGGUUCGAAUUCACCAGCUACUC
rnacentral:tRNA from 1 species